CACCAGCCAUUGUGGUCUCUGC
rnacentral:miRNA from 1 species